UACGUAGGGGGCAAGCGUUGUCCGGAUUCAUUGGGCGUAAAGCGCGUGUAGGCGGCCAGGUAGGUCUGGUGUGAAAACUCGAGGCUCAACCUCGAGAGGUCAUCGGAAACCAUCUGGCUAGAGUCCGGAAGAGGAGAGUGGAAUUCCCGGUGUAGCGGUGAAAUGCGCAGAUAUCGGGAGGAACACCUAUUGCGAAGGCAGCUCGCUGGGACGGUACUGACGCUGAGGAGCGAAAGCGUGGGUAGCAAACAGGAUUAGAACCUACCGUAGUCAGACCAAGUCCAUCUGUCUACCGAUCGAAUUACAC
rnacentral:rRNA from 1 species